rnacentral:lncRNA from 1 species
GGACAAUGCUCUGGGUGUGUUUAAAAAUGGUUACUUCCCCCUCCCUGCGCCAGAGGCACUCGGUGAUUUCCCUGGGCUCUUCCCUAUAAAAACCUGGUGGGGUCCCUGGAGGUAAAGCCCAGAAAUGUGUGAGGGUUCACUAGGGCUGCGGCCCCAGAAGUCUCUGACGGUAGUCCCCGCUAGUCCUCCAACAGUUUGUCAAAAUUGCCAGUUCAGUGUUUUCACUACUUUGUGGCUUCAGCAGCUUCUGUUCCAGUUAAUCAUCCGCUUGACCUGAACGUUUUCCACCCAGUUAUGUAAGUUAUGUAAGGCAUCUUCCAUAUGGUAAGACGUAACAGCUAAUAUCAUUGUUGUGUAGUAUAAUAGUAA